UACGAGUGGUGCAAGCGUUAUUCGGAUUUAUUGGGCGUAAAGGGUGCGCAGGCGGUAUAUUAAGUCAACUGUUAAAUUCCUCAGCCUAACUGAGGGCCAGCGGUAGAUACUGGUAUACUAGAGGGUGGAAGAGAGAAGUGGAAUUCUUGGAGUAGCGGUAAAAUGCGUAGAUCUCAAGAGGAACACCAAUGGCGAAGGCAACUUCUUGGUCCACAUCUGACGCUCAUGCACGAAAGCGUGGGGAGCAAACAGG
rnacentral:rRNA from 1 species